UCGACAGCGAAGGAACAGAAGAAAAAUAGAUUCUCGUAAAUGGUGGGAGAUCGAGACGAUGGCGAAACAGGCCUAAAGGCCAGUCGGUGAAAGCAGGUGGUGUGCCAACCGGGGAGUCUGGACGGUUGGCAUUUUAUUCUCCAUUCCUUGAUCGCCCUGAAAAAAUGGAAAAUAUAAUAUCUCAACCUCUACCUCAAAGCCAAAUGUAUCCGAGGAAUAAUUAAUGGGAUUGAGGACUGUUGGCUUCUCGUACCCAGAGCAAGGACACAAGACACAAGUUUCUGCCUGCUUCACGGUCCAUUAUUACUUUUGGUACGCGCUAGGCCAGUCUCAAACUCGUACCGUGAGUAAUAAUGCACUGUGGCUGUCAAAGCCAACGGUCAGCCAACAGUGACGGACAACACCUCCCCAAUCCUGUAUCAUGUAAAGAAACCCAAGAAAGCAGGAACGCAAACUUUUUGCCAUUUUACUAUAGCCUAAACAUAAGGUGUAUUGUUUAAUUGCUUACUAUAAAUACAUUGUUACAUGUUGUAGCCUGUAGGCUGUAGGUCUACAGUGUUGGUGAUAAAUCCCAAAAGGUCGUGGGGUGAGGGCCACACUGACUGCUUUAUUCAAAGAAUUAUCCUAGUCUGUAUAUUUGAAAGUUAUAACUAUGUUGCUUGCAAAAAUACAUUACCUGUACCUAUGUCUGACGGUUGACCUAUGGGCUAUUUAUGUCGGAUCUUGUUUUGAUAGCCUACAAUAAAAGCGAAAUUAGGCUGUA